GUACGUGAAACCGUUCAGGGGUAAACGGGAGAAAUCCUGAAUUCGAAGGGGAUUGGAUUCAAUUCCGCCCGGCUGUUCAGGCCACCUGGCCCCACCAGAUGGCGCUGGUCGCCCACGGUGAUUCAUUUCGCUUGUGGUGUCGUUCCCGGCGAUCACUCGGUGUGGGUGGUGUUGCUCYGACACCGGAGGAGUGCACUUCCUCCCUUGUAGAAACGUCGCGACCCGUUGGGUGCCGGUCUAAGGCCCGGGAUGGCAGACCACGUGUCCUAUGGUGUAAACCAUGGGUGUGUGGACCCCUGGUGACCCGGCCGGCUGCUCGACGGUAUGACCAGAGGAGUCGAUCCGCUGAAAAGGGAAACACUAUGGUUGUGUAGCGUCUGGCCCGGCACCAACACGUGCGGGGAUUGCGGUGUAAACCCUGGGUGUCCGUGCAGAAGCACGGCCCCGGCCCCGCUGCGUUGUUGGAUCAGUCGGUGUCCUCGGACUGGAUCAGCACUCCCGUCGGCGACGCCCACCUUCGGAUGG
rnacentral:rRNA from 1 species